GAUGAAGAACGUAGCGAAAUGCGAUAAGUAGUGUGAAUUGCAGAAUUCAGUGAAUCAUCGAAUCUUUGAACGCACAUUGCGCCCCUUGGUAUUCCAUGGGGCAUGCCUGUUCGAGCGUCAUUUGUACCUUCAAGCUCUGCUUGGUGUUGGGUGUUUGUCUCGCCUCUGCGUGUAGACUCGCCUCAAAACAAUUGGCAGCCGGCGUAUUGAUUUCGGAGCGCAGUACAUCUCGCGCUUUGCACUCAUAACGACGACGUCCAAAAGUACAUUUUUACACUCUUGACCUCGGAUCAGGUAGGGAUACCCGCUGAACUUUAGCAUAUCAAUAAGCGGAGGA
rnacentral:misc_RNA from 1 species